UGGGGAAUAUCGGACAAUGGGGGCAACCCUGAUCCAGCAAUACCGCGUGUGUGAAGAAGGCCUUCGGGUUGUAAAGCACUUUAGUUGGGGAAGAAGGAUAGCAGUUUAAGAGAUGGCUAUUUUGACGGUACCCAAAGAAUAAGCACCGGCUAACUCUGUGCCAGCAGCCGCGGUAAUACAGAGGGUGCAAGCGUUAAUCAGAGUUACUGGGCGUAAAGGGCGCGUAGGUGGUUGUAUAAGUUGGAUGUGAAAUCCCUGGGCUUAACCUAGGAACUGCAUUCAAGACUGUAUGACUAGAGUACUGUAGAGGGUAGUGGAAUUUCCGGUGUAGCGGUGAAAUGCGUAGAGAUCGGAAGGAACACCAGUGGCGAAGGCGGCUACCUGGACAGAUACUGACACUGAGGCGCGAGAGCGUGGGGAGCAAACAG
rnacentral:rRNA from 1 species